rnacentral:tmRNA from 1 species
GGGGCUGAUUCUGGAUUCGACGGGAUUUGCGAAACCCAAGGUGCAUGCCGAGGGGCGGUUGGCCUCGUAAAAAGCCGCAAAAAAAUAGUCGCAAACGACGAAAACAUCACACCUGCUGCUUUAGCAGCUUAAUCAGCCUAAGAAACUGAAGGUGUCCUCUCUCCCUAGCCUCCGCUCUUAGGACGGGGAUCAAGAGAGGUCAAACCCAAAAGAGAUCGUGUGGAUGCCCUGCCUGGGGUUGAAGCAUUAAAUCCAAUCAGGCUAGUUUGGUAAUGGCGUGUCUGUCCGCAGUUGCCCGGCGAAUGUAAAGAUAUGACUAAGCAUGUAGUGCCGACGGUCUAGGAAUUCCGGACGCGGGUUCAACUCCCGCCAGCUCCACCA